CUGUUUUCUCUUCUUCAUGAAAUGACUGAACAUCUGCAACAAAAGCAUACGAAAUGUAUCUUGAGUCAGGUCUCAUCUCACUCACUGAAGUCAAUCUGUAAUACAGAAGUUAACAUCAUUCUGACUCCAAGGGAAACUUCCUAAAUUCUAUGACACACCCCUGGCAGUUUGGUAGGGUCUUAAGAAGAUUGGCUGCAAAGGAUAAAACGUAUUCCCCUGACAUAUAAAAAGAAAAAAAAAACAAGUACUAGUUAUCACAAUUUUGAAGAAAGAAUGGAAGCGAUUUUUCAAAAACCUCCAGUUUUGCAGAAAAAUACCAUAGAUUAUUAUUCUUCAAGACUGCCCAUUGUAGAAUAAGAAUGCAAAAAUAACAAAAAUAUUGAUACAAAUCAUAAACUGUAUGGAAAUUGUAGUUUCACACAUGGAUCUGUUAAAUGUGGCAUAAGGUGAGAUUAUAACAAUUAAACGCAAAUUCAAAGACAGG